AUUUACGUGUUCUUUGUCCUUGCUUGCCAA
rnacentral:sRNA from 1 species